CAUUGACAAGGUAGGUGUUUCACACUCAACUAUAAGUUGUAGAUAGAUCCUCUUCUUUUGCCUCCAAAAUGUCAUUAAAAUUGUUCAUGUCACCAGGGAAAGUUUUUAAAAAGGACUGAGUUCUCCCUCCAGGUCACCAUGACGGGUGAGGAUGCAUGGCCUAGUGUGAGGCUCAGGAAGUCUAAGCCAACAGUGGUUAUGAAGACACAAGUAUGGGGCUUGGAAUGUGGCUUA